rnacentral:tRNA from 1 species
GGCGGUGUAGCUCAGUUGGUAGAGCAUGCGGCUCAUAUCCGCAGAGUCACAGGUUCGAGUCCUGUCACCGCCACUA